rnacentral:lncRNA from 1 species
GUAACAAUACUCACCAUAAAGGCAAAAAUCCAAGAAAGUUCCACAACAUAGAUAGCUGACAAACUGACUCAAAAAAAAAGAAAAAUAAAAGAAAGAAAAGAAACAGAACCAGAAAAAUGAAGGAGCUACUAUUUGUCAGUAGCAGCAUCAUCUCCAGUAUGUGGUGGUGAACGGGAAUGUGGGCAAGCUGGUUGAACGCAGCCACAUCGAGAGAGAGUAGCUAUGGAAUUUCAGAUGCUCUGAAAGCUCUCAGCCACAUACCUCUGAAACACAUCGGUCUCCAUGGGGAUCGCAGGAUUCGCAGGAAGGCCGAAUGCUAAAGAUGAAAAAGUGUGAGUAUGUGCCGACAAACCGCUGGCAGAAACAAGUACUGAAUCGUCCUCAGCAGCAGAAGCUGGAGCUCCAGAAGAUGCAUCACAUAUGAACCAAGGCUGAGGAUCAACAUCAUGAGCAUUGAAUGCCUCGACAUGAGCACACAACGGAAACCCCACCCUUUGUCGAUCCGCUGGUGAUACAGGCGCAGUUUGUGGUGGUGGGUUAGAGCUUGAUGUUUCGUCUGUGCGCUUCCUCUUAGCUUGAUACAUCUGCAGUCAAUGACAAAAGCAACAAAGAAGUAUCCAAAAAUCAAAAUCCAAAAUUAACAAGUUCAAGGACUAAACACCACUAGCAACAAUCACCAGCAUCACAGUCAUCAACAAUCCGCCCUAAAUCAGUUCAAAAACCGUUCCAAAAUCUGAUUUUUGGACCAAUUUUGCCACCCAAAAUAAAAAUUUCCAAAACCUGCAAACAGGCCAUAGAAAGUAAAUGGGGAUGUUUAAAAUCCUCUAUAACAACCUACAAAGGCAUGAAUCAAUCAUUAAAACAAGUUCCAAGAGAUAAAAUCGACAUUCCAAACUUUGUGUACUGAAAUCGAAAAGAGGGAUGUUCGAGUUGCAUACCUUGCAGAUCGGAAAAAUUGAUGGAAGAAAUAGAAUCAGUAUAAAAAUUUAAUGAGGUUAGGCCUUGAAAUCACUAAAAUCCGUGAAGAAUUGAGGGAUUUGAGAUUUUGGGCUUGAGUUCUUCGUGUGUGUCG